UGCAGUCGAACGGUAACAGGAAGUGCUUGCACUUCGCUGACGAGUGGCGGACGGGUGAGUAAUGCUUGGGAACUUGCCUUUGCGAGGGGGAUAACAGUUGGAAACGACUGCUAAUACCGCAUAAUGUCUACGGACCAAACGGGGCUUAGGCUCCGGCGCAAAGAGAGGCCCAAGUGAGAUUAGCUAGUUGGUAAGGUAAAGGCUUACCAAGGCAACGAUCUCUAGCUGUUCUGAGAGGAAGAUCAGCCACACUGGAACUGAGACACGGUCCAGACUCCUACGGGAGGCAGCAGUGGGGAAUAUUGCACAAUGGGGGAAACCCUGAUGCAGCCAUGCCGCGUGUGUGAAGAAGGCCUUCGGGUUGUAAAGCACUUUCAGUUGUGAGGAAAAGUUAGUAGUUAAUACCUGCUAGCCGUGACGUUAACAACAGAAGAAGCACCGGCUAACUCCGUGCCAGCAGCCGCGGUAAUACGGAGGGUGCGAGCGUUAAUCGGAAUUACUGGGCGUAAAGCGCACGCAGGCGGUUUGUUAAGCUAGAUGUGAAAGCCCCGGGCUCAACCUGGGAUGGUCAUUUAGAACUGGCAGACUAGAGUCUUGGAGAGGGGAGUGGAAUUCCAGGUGUAGCGGUGAAAUGCGUAGAUAUCUGGAUGAACAUCAGUGGCGAAGGCGACUCCCUGGCCAAAGACUGACGCUCAUGUGCGAAAGUGUGGGUAGCGAACAGGAUUAGAUACCCUGGUAGUCCACACCGUAAACGCUGUCUACUAGCUGUUUGUGACUUUAAGUCGUGAGUAGCGAAGCUAACGCGAUAAGUAGACCGCCU
rnacentral:rRNA from 1 species